rnacentral:tRNA from 1 species
GGGAGUAUAGCUCAGUGGUAGAGCGUGUGCUUGACGUGCACGAGGUCCUGGAUUCAGUCACCAGUGCCUCUG